AUUGAACGCUGGCGGCAUGCCUUACACAUGCAAGUCGAACGGUAACAGGUCUUCGGAUGCUGACGAGUGGCGAACGGGUGAGUAAUACAUCGGAACGUGCCUAGUAGUGGGGGAUAACUACUCGAAAGAGUGGCUAAUACCGCAUGAGAUCUACGGAUGAAAGCAGGGGAUCGCAAGACCUUGUGCUACUAGAGCGGCCGAUGGCAGAUUAGGCAGUUGGUGGGAUAAAAGCUUACCAGGCCGACGAUCUGUAGCUGGUCUGAGAGGACGAUCAGCCACACUGGGAAUGAGACACGGCCCAGACUCCUACGGGAGGCAGCAGUGGGGAAUUUUGGACAAUGGGCGAAAGCCUGAUCCAGCAAUGCCGCGUGCAGGAUGAAGGCCUUCGGGUUGUAAACUGCUUUUGUACGGAACGAAAAGCCCCGGGUUAAUACCCAGGGGUCAUGACGGUACCGUAAGAAUAAGCACCGGCUAACUACGUGCCAGCAGCCGCCGCAG
rnacentral:rRNA from 1 species